rnacentral:lncRNA from 1 species
GGGCCAGCUUGGGCUGUGAAGGUGGGGACAGAAAAGAGAAGACAGAACAAAGCUGCUUUUUAGGACUGAACAAUCUAUUUUCAAAGCACUGGUACCUGUGUGAGUGAGUAUGUAAAUUAAAGUUAUUUAAAUGGUUGGAACAUGUGGCUCCUUUUCCAUCACUACAUCUUUCCUUCCGGAUCUGCAUCUUGGAAGUUUCGUUGUGUUGUGGAAGACGGAAGCACCUCCCCUGCACACGUGUGCGCUACGGUGGUCUUGGACAGUGUGUGGAAACAAGCUCCGUGACAGUAGAAGACUUCUCUUAGGGGAACAACUUUUUGACGCACAACUUUCGGUGCGUUUUUCUAGUUUUAAUACCUUAAGCUUUUUCAAGACCUAACUGCAGCCGCUUUGGGAAAAAACAAACAGAAAAAAACAAAAAAACAAAAAAAAAACAAAAACAGAAAAUGAAAAAAACUGCUUUGCAUAAAACAGUCACCUGUUUCCUAGUACCUCAAACUUAACCAAGGGAAUUCUCUGCAUUUGUCAGUACUACCUGUCGUCAUUGUGGUUAAAUGUAGAGAGAACUGCUGGGCAAGAUGGUGAAUGGAGAAAAAAAAAAAAAAAAAAAAAAGAGUUUUAAAGAAAGGAACACAAAUUGUGCUUAAAAUCCCCACGUGGGUUUUAUUUCUUAAAAUACUGUGAUUUUUUUAAUUAUUUUAGUAAAAAACAAAACAAAAAAAAGAAACAGACUUUAAUUAUUAGAUAAAUGUUUGUGAAUUGUCAUCCUUUAUUCCAGGGAUGGGGGCCAUCAUGUGGAAACCAGAAAAUGGGGAAAGUGUGAACUAUCUAGACAAAGAUUCAUUUUGUGUCCAUAUUUGUUUUUGAUUGGCCUCAUUUCAAAUGUACUAAACAGUUCCAUACCUGGAUUGGGUGUUUGUAAUGGUUACCAAAAAAGGAAGAAAAAAAAAAAAAAAAAAAGGAAAGAAAGAAAAAAGAAAAAAAAAAGAAAAUAAUUGUGACAUGCUUUUAUCACUACUUUAUUUUUCAAAUAACAUGUAAAUAUUGUAAUCCAUUGGAUUUUGUUUUGCUAACCUGUUAAUAAAAAUAUGGGACCAUUAUCCUUUUAA